rnacentral:rRNA from 1 species
GACGAACGCUGGCGGCGUGCUUAACACAUGCAAGUCGAACGGAAAGGCCCUGCUUUUGUGGGGUGCUCGAGUGGCGAACGGGUGAGUAACACGUGAGUAACCUGCCCUUGUCUUUGGGAUAACUUCAGGAAACUGGGGCUAAUACCGGAUAGGAGCUCCUGCUGCAUGGUGGGGGUUGGAAAGUUUCGGCGGUUGGGGAUGGACUCGCGGCUUAUCAGCUUGUUGGUGGGGUAGUGGCUUACCAAGGCUUUGACGGGUAGCCGGCCUGAGAGGGUGACCGGCCACAUUGGGACUGAGAUACGGCCCAGACUCCUACGGGAGGCAGCAGUGGGAAAUAUGGCACAAUGGGCGGAAGCCUGAUGCAGCAACGCCGCGUGCGGGAUGACGGCCUUCGGGUUGUAAACCGCUUUCGCCUGUGACGAAGCGUGAGUGACGGUAAUGGGUAAAGAAGCACCGGCUAACUACGUG